rnacentral:rRNA from 1 species
AGUAGCCGCGGUAAUACGUAGGGUGCGAGUGUUAAUCGGAAUUACUGGGCGUAAAGAGUGCGUAGGCGGUUCUAUAAGACAGAUGUGAAAUCCCCGGGCUCAACCUGGGAACUGCAUUUGUGACUGUAGAGCUGGAGUGCGGCAGAGGGGGAUGGAAUUCCGCGUGUAGCAGUGAAAUGCGUAGAGAUGUGGAGGAAUACCGAUGGCGAAGGCAGCCCCCUGGGCCAAUACUGACGCUCAUGCACGAAAGCGUGGGGAGCAAACAGGAUUAGAUACCCGUGUAGUCCCUGUCUCUUAUACA